UAUGGGAUAAUGAUCAGAAAUUUUAUUGUUGGAAAUUGAAAUAAGUUCUUUUAAUUAACUGGAAGGUUCCAUUUAAAAUUUUCCAUGGAUUGAGUUUAAGUCUUCUACUGUUAUGUUUAUUGAACUAAUGGUAACAGAUAUUGCAUUGACAGCAUGUCUUGAAACAUGCACUGUGGAUCAGGGCCUAUGCCUUCCACUGUACCAAAAAACGAGGCCCUCUGGAGAUGUCUUCUCGAAUCUGAUAUUACACGCUUUUACCUGUUACAGGGUCUGAUUCAAUCUGUCUUUGAACUUCGUGAUGGAUCUGGGGUAGUUGUCACUGUAGGAAAGUAUGUGACACCACAUCACUUGGACAUAAAUGGCAAUGGAAUCGAUCCUGAUUAUAGAAACUUCCCAGCUUGGAACGAUGUCGUACAGCAUCUUUUGCAAUGCAAUUUGCUUCGGCAGGGUUAAAACCAGUUUAUAUUUUGAAACUUUUGGCAAUUCAAGUGGAGGCAUGAUUUGAUUUGCUUGCCCGAGAGUUGCAUAUCAUGGAGCUGACACACAAAAGUUGAGUUAAGAGCAUUGGCUUACACAAGCCUUGGCAUAUGUCCUGCAUGUCAGAGUCUGGUUUAGGUUUUAGAGUUUCAGUGGAUCUGAUCCUACAUAACAUUACACCAAUCAAAGAAAAACAUAUUGCAUUGACAUUGGAAAGUUCGAAAUGAACCAGCUCUAAGUCCAAAGAAAUCCCAACCAUAUGGAAGAAUUUAGCACAUAACAACCAGGAAGUAAAAGAAGCAAUGAUUUACUGUGAGAAAGUUUGCUGUAAAUUUUGUUCAUAUAUAUCUCAGUUAUGGAUACAAGUGAUAUUCAAGUAAAUCCGAAAUUCUUUGCCAAAGAGACUCAAGCUUGUCUUAUUCUUUCCUCAACUCUCUUCGUACAUUCUCAAUGUCUUAAAUUUUUGUUGACAAGAGGGAUGAGAUGUAGCCAUUACACUACUGCAGAGCAUUAUAUGUAGCCAGAAACUUGAUUUCUGUAGCUCACGGUUUCAGUGAGCUUCUGUUUUUGA